GCCCAGGUGGCGGAACUGGCAGACGCACCAGCUUCAGGAGCUGGCGGGUUCACCCCCGUGGAGGUUCAACUCCUCUCCUGGGCA
rfam:Candidate division WOR-1 bacterium RIFCSPHIGHO2_01_FTLL_53_15 rifcsphigho2_01_scaffold_7440, whole genome shotgun sequence.